rnacentral:rRNA from 1 species
AACGAACGCUGGCGGCAUGCCUAACACAUGCAAGUCGAACGAGACCUUCGGGUCUAGUGGCGCACGGGUGCGUAACGCGUGGGAAUCUGCCCUUCGGUUCGGAACAACAGUUAGAAAUGACUGCUAAUACCGGAUAAUGACGUAAGUCCAAAGAUUUAUCGCCGAAGGAUGAGCCCGCGUAAGAUUAGGUAGUUGGUGGGGUAAUGGCCUACCAAGCCGACGAUCUUUAGCUGGUCUGAGAGGAUGAUCAGCCACACUGGGACUGAGACACGGCCCAGACUCCUACGGGAGGCAGCAGUGGGGAAUAUUGGACAAUGGGCGAAAGCCUGAUCCAGCAAUGCCGCGUGAGUGAUGAAGGCCUUAGGGUUGUAAACCGCUUUCAGCCGGAAAGAAAUCGCCGUUUUUAAUACAGACGGUGGAUGACGGUACCGGAAGAAGAAGCACCGGCUAACUACGUGCCAGCAGCCGCGGUAAUGUAGUCGUG